rnacentral:lncRNA from 1 species
UUUAGCUCACCUGGCCUAAAAGGCCAUGUGAGCUUUUCUCAUCACUUGGCGUCCGUCGUCGUCGUCGUCGUCGUCGUUAACAAUUUUUCAAACAUCUUCUCCUCUGAAACUACUGAAUGGAUUUGAAUGAAACUUAAAAUGAUUGUUCCUUAGAUUAUCCUGCACUAAGUGUGUGCUUCGAUUUUUGAUCCGUCAAAAAACAUGGCCGCCGUUACUUAAAAUAGAACAUAGGGGUCAAAUGCAGUUUUUGGCUUAUAUCUCAAAAACAGAAGCAUUUAGAGCAAAUCUGACAUGGGGUAAAAAUGUUCAUUAGGUCAAGAUCUAUCAGCCCAGAAAUUUUCAGAUGAAUCAAACAAACCAUUGUUGGGUUGCUGCCACUUAAUUGGUAAUUUUAAGGAAAU